rnacentral:rRNA from 1 species
UCAAGUUACAAAGGGCGCAGGGCGGAUGCCUUGGCACCAGGAGCCGAAGAAGGACGUGAUAAGCUGCGAAAAGCUGCGGGGAGGAGCAAAUAUCCAUUGAUCCGCAGGUAUCCGAAUGGGGAAACCCGGCAGAAAGAACUUCUGUCACCGUAUGAUGAAUCCAUAGUCAUACGGAGGGAACCCGGCGAACUGAAACAUCUAAGUAGCCGGAGGAAGAGGAAGAAACAUCGAAUCCCUAAGUAGUGGCGAGCGAAAGGGGACGAAGCCCAAACCAAGGAUUUAUCCUUGGGGUUGAGGACCACAUACGAAGAAGCAGUAGGUAGCAGAACGGUUUUGGGAAAGCCGGCCAAAGAGAGUGAAAGCCUCGUAUGCGAAACAGACUGUGAUUCAGUGGUAUCCGGAGUACUACGGGACACGAGAAACCCCGUAGGAAGCAGGGGGGACCACCCCCCAAGGCGAAAUACUACCUGGUGACCGAUAGAGUAUAGUACCGUGAGGGAAAGGUGAAAAGAACCCCGGGAGGGGAGUGAAAGAGAACCUGAAACCCUGUGUCUACAAGCUGCGGAAGAGCGACUAACGCUCGACCGUGUACUUUUUGUAGAACGGUCCGGCGAGUUGCCGUUGCUGGCAGGUUAAGUACUUAAGGUACGGAGCCGAAGGGAAACCAAGUCUUAAUAGGGCGGUAAGUCAGUAACGGCAGACCCGAAACCGGGUGACCUACCCAUGGCCAGGAUGAAGUCUGCGUAAAAGUGGAUGGAGGUCCGAACACACGUCUGUUGAAAAAGGCGGUGAUGAGCUGUGGGUAGCGGAGAAAUUCCAAUCGAACUCGGAGAUAGCUGGUUCUCCCCGAAAUAGCUUUAGGGCUAGCCUCGGUAUAGUCUAAUGGAGGUAGAGCACUGAAUCGCUGCGGGGGCGUCAAAGUCUACCAAUGCGUAUCAAACUCCGAAUGCCAUAUAGAUGUUUACCGGGAGUCAGACUGUAUGAGAUAAGUCGGACAGUCAAAAGGGAAACAGCCCAGACCAUCUGCUAAGGUCCCAAAGUGUAUGUUAAGUGGUAAAGGAUGUGGGGUUUCGAAGACAACUAGGAUGUUGGCUCAGAAGCAGCCAUUCAUUCAAAGAGUGCGUAAUAGCUCACUAGUCGAGAGGUCCUGCGCCGAAAAUGUCCGGGGCUGAAACAUAACACCGAAGCAAUGGAAUAUACCGCAAGGUAUGUUGGUAGGGGAGCAUUGAUAACACGAAGAAGCGGUACCGUAAGGAGUCGUGGAGAGUUAUCAAGAGAGAAUGCCGGAAUGAGUAGCGAGAUGAAGGUGAGAAUCCUUCAGGCCGUAUAUCCAAGGUUUCCAGGGUAAAGCUGAUCUUCCCUGGGGAAGUCGGGACCUAAGCUCAGGCUGAGAAGCGUAGGCGAUGGACAACUGGUUGAUAUUCCAGUACCUCUGGCUAUCAGAAAUGUGGGGACACGGAGAUUCAGGGAGUGCCUGUAAAGGAUUCAGGUGCAAGCAUGGUUUAUGCCGGGCAGGCAAAUCCGUCCGGGUAAGUGAACUGUGUGAUGCGGACCGAAAUAUAAGUAGGGAAGCUCCUGGGAGAGCCGUCGAGAAAAGCCGCUAUUGUGUAGUCAGAGCCCGUACCGUAAACCGACACAGGUGGAUGGGGAGAGUAUCCCAAGGCCGGCGGGAGAAGCAUUGUUAAGGAACUCGGCAAAAUGGCCCCGUAAGUUCGCGAUAAGGGGUGCCUGUAGAGAUACAGGCCGCAGAGAAUAGGCUCAAGCAACUGUUUAGCAAAAACACAGGUCUAUGCGAAACCGUAAGGUGAUGUAUAUGGGCUGACGCCUGCCCGGUGCUGGAAGGUUACGGGGAGUGCUUAGGAGCAAUCCGAAGGUACGAACUUAAGCCCCAGUAAACGGCGGCCGUAACUAUAACGGUCCUAAGGUAGCGAAAUUCCUUGUCGGGUAAGUUCCGACCCGCACGAAAGGCGUAAUGAUUUGAGCGCUGUCUCAACAAUGCACCCGGUGAAAUUGAAGUACCAGUGAAGAUGCUGGUUACCCGCGCCAGGACGGAAAGACCCCAUGGAGCUUUACUCCA